CACCCUUACGUUUUUCUGUUCAUUUGUCUGCUUGUCCUUCCUGACCCUACAUGUUUUUGUGCUCUUUGUUGAUGCGCAAUAUCAAAUUCUCAAUUUGUUCUCUCCUUAAAAAACAAAAAGCUAGUUAUUAUUUUUUCCUCUUCUUUGGGUCUUUGCAGUGCAUCCUCAGCAUUAUCAAAGUUAAACAAGACAACUAGCAGUUCAAGCCUCUCUAAACAGCAGGGUGAAAAGAAGGAAACACCUCAGGAGCGACUUAAGCGGAUAAUGAGCAAACAAUUGAACAAACAAAAAGCUAGUUAUUAUUUUUUCCUCUUCUUUGGGUCUUUGCAGUGCAUCCUCAGCAUUAUCAAAGUUAAACAAGACAACUAGCAGUUCAAGCCUCUCUAAACAGCAGGGUGAAAAGAAGGAAACACCUCAGGAGCGACUUAAGCGGAUAAUGAGCAAACAAUUGAACAAACAAAGUAUACAUUACUUCAUGUGCAUCUCCGGAGUAAACCAUUUGUCUUCUAUAAUGUGCUGCAUUCUGCGAUAUAACAAGAAUGAGGAUCUCAUCUCUGUUAAUUUGUUUUUAUGGAAACUCUUCUUUUUGUAUGAUUAUGUGGGUCAUAUUGUUGCAUGCAAUGCGUUGUACAUUUUGCCUAAAUGAUGUCUUUUGCAGUCAA
rnacentral:lncRNA from 1 species